UCCCUGCAGAAGAAUGGUCGCCACUCGUGCGGGGCGUCCAUCCUCAGCGACUACUGGGCGCUCACUGCGGCUCACUGCGUUUACGCACUCGUCAGUGGCACCGUACUGGAGUUGCUGUCAGGCACCAUCACUCUGGACGACGGAGGCACCCGGCACUCCGUAACGUCCAUCGUCAUCCACCCGCAGUACGAUGAGUCCGACUCCUGGGUCAACGAUGUCGCAGUGCUUAGGGUGUGGACGCCGUUCCCGCUGAACGGUGAGACAGUGGCGCCGAUCCUGCUGCCUGCGUAGGGAGAGGACACACCUGCCGGAUCGCCAGUCACCGUGGUCGGUUGGGGGCGG